CGGGGGAGGCCGGAUCCUGGGCUGUGUCCCGGCGCGCUGUGCUCCCGGUCUGCGCUGAUGGAUUCGCGCUCCCGCCCCGCAGCCCCCU
rnacentral:pre_miRNA from 1 species